UGCGGCUGGAUCCCCUCCUUUCUAGAGAAUUGCCCGAGCAUUCGGGCGUCCACACUUAUCGGCUGUAGGAAGCCAAGCCGAACGGGUCUGUAGCUCAGUUAGUUAGAGCACACGCUUGAUAAGCGUGGGGUCGGUGGUUCAAGUCCACCCAGACCCACCAACUGAGCCCCCAGGGCAAAAGCCUCGAGGGGCCAUAGCUCAGCUGGGAGAGCGCCUGCUUUGCAAGCAGGAGGUCACCGGUUCGAUCCCGGUUGGCUCCACCAGCCUUCUUGAAUUUUCAGAACGUGACGGCAUCUUUGCCGGUUGCGUUUGUGUUUCGGCUGCUCUUUAACAAUUCGGAAGAAGCAAGGCGAGUCCGGUUCGUAACUUCUGAGCCGGGCUCAUCUGGGUAUGAGAUUGCAUUAUUUGCGCUCGCGGUUAGUCGCCGCGAAACGCAAGCCAAGCGCACUCUGUGAUCCGAAAGCGAACUGCGCGAGCAGUGCUCAGGGUUAUAGGGUCAAGUGAGAAAGUGCAUGUGGUGGAUGCCUUGGCGACGACAGGCGACGAAGGACGUUGCAGCCUGCGAUAAGCCUCGGGGAGCUGGCAAGCGAGCUUUGAUCCGAGGAUUUCCGAAUGGGGAAACCCGG
rnacentral:misc_RNA from 1 species